rnacentral:rRNA from 1 species
AUGAGCUGCUUCUCCUGCUUCGGCCCGGCCCUCGAGGCGGAGGCCGGCAAGCCGGGGCCCGACGCCAAGGACGGCGCCGCGCCGGAUCGCGCCGGAUCAGAUAAAUUGAGGCUGCAGGGUGGAUCAGACCCUAAGAAUAACCAUCUAACCAUCCCUCGGGAUGGGAGCAGCCAAAACAUUGCCGCACAGAUUUUCACUUUUCGUGAGCUUGCUGCUGCCACCAAGAACUUCAGACAAGAUUGCAUGUUGGGUGAGGGAGGUUUCGGACGUGUAUAUAAAGGUCGCCUGGAGAGUGGGCAGGCUGUUGCUGUGAAGCAACUUGAUCGUAACGGUCUCCAAGGAAAUAGAGAAUUCCUUGUUGAGGUCCUCAUGCUCAGUCUCUUGCAUCACACUAACCUUGUCAAUCUAAUUGGUUAUUGUGCUGAUGGUGACCAACGCCUCCUUGUUUAUGAGUUUAUGCCACUGGGCUCAUUAGAAGAUCACUUGCAUGAUGUGCCACCUGAGAAGGAACCUCUUGACUGGAACACACGGAUGAAGAUAGCUGCAGGUGCAGCCAAGGGCUUAGAGCAUCUUCAUGACAAGGCCAGCCCUCCUGUUAUUUACCGGGAUUUCAAAUCGUCAAACAUUCUUCUUGGUGAAGGGUUUCACCCGAAGCUGUCUGACUUUGGCCUUGCAAAACUCGGUCCAGUUGGUGACAACACUCAUGUCUCAACACGUGUGAUGGGAACUUAUGGCUACUGUGCCCCAGAAUAUGCUAUGACUGGGCAGCUCACAGUGAAAUCGGAUGUCUAUAGCUUUGGCGUUGUUUUCCUUGAGCUGAUUACAGGGCGCAAAGCAAUCGACAACACCAAACCCCAAGGAGAGCAAAACCUGGUGGCAUGGGCUCGUCCACUCUUCAAGGAUCGCAGGAAGUUUCCUAAGAUGGCUGACCCAAUGCUUCAAGGCCGGUUCCCCAUGAGGGGUCUGUAUCAGGCUUUAGCUGUUGCUGCCAUGUGUUUGCAAGAGCAAGCCACAACCCGUCCUCACAUAGGAGAUGUUGUCACUGCUCUCUCAUAUCUAGCUUCUCAGACAUAUGAUCCAAAUGCCCCAACUCAACAUACUCGGAGCAAUUCGUCGACCCCAAGGGCCAGAAAUGUUGGUGGGCGGAACAGCGAACAGCGCAACGGCCGCUCGCCAAAUCAUCAUUCUCCCAGGACAUCAAAGCACGGAGGGGAGGUCAGCCGGACUAGUUCUACUGGUGGUGAUUCUGGCCGGAGGUCAGGAUUGGAUGAAAUGGACAUGGCAGGAUCACAGGCAGGCAGUCCAGCUCAGACAGGAAGGAAGAGAGAAACCCCAAGGACUGCUGACAGGCAGCGCGCCAUCGCGGAUGCUAAAAUGUGGGGGGAGAACUCCAGAGAGCGGAAGCGACCGAACGGCAGCUUUGAUAGUACAAAUGAGUAA